ACUGAGGGACGACUAUGGGGCUGGCGGGCGAGAGUAAAAGGAACGAGUGAAAGAAGAGGGGCAGGAUGAGCAGCAGGAGAAAAGGAAGAGAGGAAAAUAAAAAGGAAAAGGACGUGGCCGCGGCAUUUCUCGUCUUGUAAACACCGGACUCUUCGGGGCCUUAAAAAAAAUAAAGACCUCCCUCCUUCCUUUAUUGGGGGCGAGCUCUGCCGGCCGGGGUGAGCCGCGGACGGGGACGUCAAGUAAUGAAGACUCCGGGGAAACUUUUCGCUCCUCUUCUGUCUCUGGCUCCGCUCCCCGCCAGCUGGGCCCCCUCCCCCUCCCCGCCCCCCCACGCCUCUCCCCUCCGUAUCUCCCGGUCUUCCGUGCUCUCGCUGCUGUCUGUAACUCUGGGCUCCGUCUGUCCACUCCUCCGCUCUCCUACCGCAGACUUCUAAAUCCGUUCCAUGGCAUCGCGAAGCAGAGCAGGACGUAAGAACUGGAGAGAAAAUUAAACGUCAUACAGAAAAGUUCA